GACAGAGGGUGCAAACGUUGUUCGGAAUUACUGGGCGUAAAGCGCGUGUAGGCGGUUGCCCAAGUCGGGUGUGAAAGCCUUGAGCUCAACUCAAGAAAUGCACUCGGUACUGGGUGACUAGAGGACCGGAGAGGAUAGUGGAAUUCCCAGUGUAGUGGUGAAAUACGUAGAGAUUGGGAAGAACACCAGUGGCGAAGGCGGCUAUCUGGACGGUUUCUGACGCUAAGACGCGAAAGCGUGGGGAGCGAACAGG
rnacentral:rRNA from 1 species